GUUCCGGUAGCCUAGUGAUUAGAGCGUCUGCCUCAGAUGCGGGAGGUCGUGGGUUCGAUCUCCGGUUGAGUCA